CCAAAGCUAAGAGCCCAAUCAAGCAGGAGAGACCAGCCUCCCCUGUACCCAGCUGUGUGCCCAUGAAGAGUGACCGGUCUAUGCAUCAUCCCAUAUCCUUUAGAGAGGGAUACUUUUCUACUGAACAAAGUGUGGAACAUGGUGGAGAGAACACAAUGAAACCUGGACCU